rnacentral:rRNA from 1 species
CAGUCGAACGAAACUUCUUUAUCACCGAGUGCUUGUACUCACCGAUAAAGAGUUGAGUGGCGAACGGGUGAGUAACACGUGGGCAACCUGCCCAAAAGAGGGGGAUAACACUUGGAAACAGGUGCUAAUACCGCAUAACCAUAGUUACCGCAUGGUAACUAUGUAAAAGGUGGCUAUGCUACCGCUUUUGGAUGGGCCCGCGGCGCAUUAGCUAGUUGGUGGGGUAAAGGCUUACCAAGGCAAUGAUGCGUAGCCGAACUGAGAGGUUGAUCGGCCACAUUGGGACUGAGACACGGCCCAAACUCCUACGGGAGGCAGCAGUAGGGAAUCUUCCACAAUGGGCGAAAGCCUGAUGGAGCAACGCCGCGUGGGUGAAGAAGGUCUUCGGAUCGUAAAACCCUGUUGUUAGAGAAGAAAGUGCGUGAGAGUAACUGUUCACGUUUCGACGGUAUCUAACCAGAAAGCCACGGCUAACUACGUGCCAGCAGCCGCGGUAAUACGUAGGUGGCAAGCGUUAUCCGGAUUUAUUGGGCGUAAAGGGAACGCAGGCGGUCUUUUAAGUCUGAUGUGAAAGCCUUCGGCUUAACCGGAGUAGUGCAUUGGAAACUGGGAGACUUGAGUGCAGAAGAGGAGAGUGGAACUCCAUGUGUAGCGGUGAAAUGCGUAGAUAUAUGGAAGAACACCAGUGGCGAAAGCGGCUCUCUGGUCUGUAACUGACGCUGAGGUUCGAAAGCGUGGGUAGCAAACAGGAUUAGAUACCCUGGUAGUCCACGCCGUANACGAUGAAUGCUAAGUGUUGG